GACACUUUAGUUGAGCAGUUAAGGCGUGAGCAAAGAAAGCUCGUGGGGUUUCCCCAUGCAGGUUCAAAUCCUGCAGGUAUCA